rnacentral:misc_RNA from 1 species
GAAAUGCGAUAAGUAAUGUGAAUUGCAGAAUUCAGUGAAUCAUCGAAUCUUUGAACGCACCUUGCGCUCCUUGGUAUUCCUUGGAGCAUGCCUGUUUGAGUAUCAUGAAAUCUUCAAAGUAAAUCUUUUGUUAACUCAAUUGGUUUCUACUUUGGUAUUGGAGGUCUUUGCAGCUUCACACCUGCUCCUCUUUGUUCAUUAGCUGGAUCUCAGUGUUAUGCUUGGUUCCACUCGGCGUGAUAAGUUAUCUAUCGCUGAGGACACUGUAAAAGGUGGCCAAGGUAAAUGCAGAUGAACCGCUUCUAAUAGUCCAUUGACUUGGACAAUACUUUUAUGAUCUGAUCUCAAAUCAGGUAGGACUACCCGCUGAACUUAAGU